GGAAGAAGAAGAGAUUUUGGAGUAGCAAUGGAAUAAUGACUGGAGACUGCAAGAAUAAAUAAACCCAUGAACUCCUUGUACCCUGACCGCAGCGUAUGUAAGAUCAAUAAAUAGCCAUGCCCAGGCUCUUGCAUAGGAAGAAGUGGUAAGCUAAGGAGAGAAAUGCAGGGUUCCUAGUACACCAAUUUUGCAACUUUUUCAUCUUGGCCCUGCUUUAAAAUGAUGCAUCUACUGUCUUCAUGCCUCAGCACAGCAGAAGAAAACCAUGCUGUGUUCCAGUUUACUUUGAAUGUUUCAGUGAAAAUGAUGAAGCUGAAAAAAUGAUGGAGGUGCAUUUCUCAGAGUCAUCGCCUCUGCUGCAGAUGGAACAGCAGCCGUGGAGAAUGACUCCUGUUACUUCUCCCAGUCCAGGGAUCACAUGAGCUGGUCAGUACCCGUCUUAGCUCUUUCCAAGCACAGCCAGGAGCACAAAGAGAAGAGUUAUGUGGAGCUGCACCAUGCUGUGUUUUGAAUAUUUUUAGAUAAUUCGUUGUUCUGCUUAAUGGGGUCACCUGAAUGUGGAAAAGUUGAGUUUGAGUAAAACUGGCAUAGCCGUACUGGAUGGACCUCAGCAUGACCAGGACACAUUUCAGCUCAAAUCCCCUGUGCUAAGAACACAUUCUGCCAAGGGCCACCACCUCUUCCCACAACAGAGAGCUGGCUUACCAGAGCACCGAUGGACUUGGAUACCUGAGAUAUCUGCUUGGGAUCCCACACUUUCAAGGUCUCUCCUCUGGCCUUCUUCUGGUUCUGCGACUCCUUACAGUGCUGGGAGUUGGUGAUGCCAACAGGACAUACGCUCCCAGAGCCUACCUCUCCCAGAUCACUUUAAAAGGCACCCAGGACCCCAGAAUUCUCAUCCUCAAAGGCAUGGAGCUCAGCUCUUGGCCCUCAACAAAUCUCUUCCCCAUAAAGAUCCUUUUGAGAGCUU
rnacentral:lncRNA from 1 species